GGAACGUGGACAGCACCUGUGGCUCACUGGCUCUUGCCUGGCCACUUUCCCCAUCCUAGGCUUGGCCAGGCUGAUGGAGCCUGUCAGCUGAGGCUGCACAGUUUCCGUGACCUCCUUGCGGAGCACAGGGCAGAAUGACUUCUGCAUCUCAGCCAAGCCUAUACCCUUUCCUACUCAUGGUUACAUCCCAGACACAUUCUUGGCCUAUUUCAGCCGAGGAUGAGGUUUAAGGUUAGAUCAAGGCUGCAUCUGCUGGGAGACAUGGUCCUGUGUUCCCUCCUUGCACUAUGUUCGGGCUCUUGUUUUCAGCUUUUCUAUACUGAUCAAAGUUAUGUGUCUUGGGUUUCCCUUCUGCCAGGUCAGGUCUGGUUCACAAGUACUGGUCUUGGCAUAAAGGGAGCUUACAGGCCCAGGCAGGCAGAGGGUAGAGGGCCAGAAGGACAUUGCCUCUUUCUAGUUUUUGCACUCUUCUGCCCAGAGUAUGAGAUGUACAUUGAAUACCAGCUCCAGCUUCUGUUGGAGUCAAAUCAGCAAGGGAAGAUUUUGACCUUCAUGUAAGAAUGCAUUAAUCUAAAGAAACAAUUUCUUAUCCUUGUUCUGUUUUGCCAACUUUUAAUAUUAUCACAUUUAAAAAGAAAGAAA
rnacentral:lncRNA from 12 species